GAUGAACGCUAGCUACAGGCUCAACACAUGCAAGUCGAGGGGAAACGACAUCGAAAGCUUGCUUUUGAUGGGCGUCGACCGGCGCACGGGUGAGUAACGCGUAUCCAACCUGCCCACCACUUGGGGAUAACCUUGCGAAAGUAAGACUAAUACCCAAUGAUAUCUCUAGAAGACAUCUGAAAGAGAUUAAAGAUUUAUCGGUGAUGGAUGGGGAUGCGUCUGAUUAGCUUGUUGGCGGGGUAACGGCCCACCAAGGCGACGAUCAGUAGCCGGUCUGAGAGGAUGAACGGCCACAUUGGAACUGAGACACGGUCCAGACUCCUACGGGAGGCAGCAGUGGGGAAUCUUCCGCAAUGGGCGAAAGCCUGACGGAGCAACGCCGCGUGAGUGAAGAAGGCCUU
rnacentral:rRNA from 1 species